rnacentral:rRNA from 1 species
UUGACGGUACCCUACUAGAAAGGAGCCGCUAACUUCGUGUCAGAAGCGUCGGUAAUACGGGGGCUCCAAGCGUUAUCCGGUGUUAUUGGGCGUAAAGAGUCGUGUAGGUGGUUGGGUAAGUUAUCUUUCAAAUAUCUUUGCUUAACAAAGAGGAGGGGGAUAAUACUGCUCGACUAGAAUUUUCUCAAGGGAGAUCGGAACUGAGGGAGGAGUAGUGAAAUGCGUUGAUACCCUCGGGAACACCAGUGGCGUAGGCGGAUCUCUGGGAGAAGAUUGACACUGAGACACGAAAGCUAGGGGAGCGAAGCAGAUUAGAGACCUGCGUAGUCCUAGCCGUAAACGCAUGCUUGCUAGCUGCAUGAAUCUACCUUCGGGUGGUAUCGUGUGGCGAAGGUAACCCGUUAAGCAAGCCGCCUGGAAAGUACGGCCGCAAGGCUGAAAUUCAAAGGAAUUGGCGGGGAGGCACACAACCAGUGGAACAUGUGGUUUAAUUCGAGACUAACCGAAGAACCUCACCAGGGUUUGACAUGUAGCUGCACGUCUUAAGAAAUUAAGACUCUCUUGAAGGUGCUACACAGGUGCUGCAUGGCUGUCGUCAGCUCGUUCCGUGAGGAGUGCCCUUAAGUGGGACAACGAGCGCAACCCCUAUUACAUGUUAGAAAUGUCAUGUAAGACUGCCUUGCCAUUUGGCGGGGAGGAAGGAGGGGCAGACGUCAAGUCCGCAUGGUCCUUAUGCCCUGGGCUACACACAUGUUACAAUGAGUACGGCAAUGAGUCUGUCGCGAGCACGUAAGUGUAAGCUAAUCUCUUAAAUGUACUCUCAGUGGGGAUUGAGGUCUGCAACUCGACCUCAUGAACACGGAAUUGGUAGUAAUCGCGGGUCAGCUAUACCGCGGUGAUACGUUCUUGCCUCUUGCACACACCGCCCGUCAAACCAGCAAAGU